rnacentral:rRNA from 1 species
UGAGGAAUAUUGGUCAAUGGGCGAGAGCCUGAACCAGCCAAGUAGCGUGCAGGAUGACGGCCCUAUGGGUUGUAAACUGCUUUUGUAUGGGGAUAAAGUUAGGGACGUGUCCCUAUUUGCAGGUACCAUACGAAUAAGGACCGGCUAAUUCCGUGCCAGCAGCCGCGGUAAUACGGAAGGUCCAGGCGUUAUCCGGAUUUAUUGGGUUUAAAGGGAGCGUAGGCUGGAGAUUAAGUGUGUUGUGAAAUGUAGACGCUCAACGUCUGAAUUGCAGCGCAUACUGGUUUCCUUGAGUACGCACAACGUUGGCGGAAUUCGUCGUGUAGCGGUGAAAUGCUUAGAUAUGACGAAGAACUCCGAUUGCGAAGGCAGCUGACGGGAGCGCAACUGACGCUUAAGCUCGAAGGUGCGGGUAUCAAACAGG